UACGAAGGGGACUAGCGUUGUUCGGAAUCACUGGGCGUAAAGCGCACGUAGGCGGAUGUGUCAGUCAGGGGUGAAAUCCCGGGGCUCAACCUCGGAACUGCCUUUGAUACAGCACGUCUCGAGUCCGGAAGAGGUGGGUGGAAUUCCUAGUGUAGAGGUGAAAUUCGUAGAUAUUAGUAAGAACACCGGUGGCGAAGGCGGCCCACUGGUCCGGUACUGACGCUGAGGUGCGAAAGCGUGGGGAGCAAACAGG
rnacentral:rRNA from 1 species